AUGAGUAGCGAAAGACGGGUGAGAAUCCCGUCCACCGAAUGCCUAAGGUUUCCUGAGGAAGGCUCGUCCGCUCAGGGUUAGUCGGGACCUAAGCCGAGGCCGAAAGGCGUAGGCGAUGGACAACAGGUUGAUAUUCCUGUACCACCUCCUCACCAUUUGAGCAAUGGGGGGACGCAGGAGGAUAGGGUAAGCGCGGUAUUGGAUAUCCGCGUCCAAGCAGUUAGGCUGGGAAAUAGGCAAAUCCGUUUCCCGUAAAGGCUGAGCUGUGAUGGCGAGCGAAAUUUAGUAGCGAAGUUCCUGAUUCCACACUGCCAAGAAAAGCCUCUAGCGAGGUGAGAGGUGCCCGUACCGCAAACCGACACAGGUAGGCGAGGAGAGAAUCCUAAGGUGAUCGAGAGAACUCUCGUUAAGGAACUCGGCAAAAUGACCCCGUAACUUCGGGAGAAGGGGUGCUUCUUAGGGUGUUAAAGCCCCGAGAAGCCGCAGUGAAUAGGCCCAGGCGACUGUUUAGCAAAAACACAGGUCUCUGCGAAGCCGUAAGGCGAAGUAUAGGGGCUGACGCCUGCCCGGUGCUGGAAGGUUAAGAGGAGCGCUUAGCGUAAGCGAAGGUGCGAAUUGAAGCCCCAGUAAACGGCGGCCGUAACUAUAACGGUCCUAAGGUAGCGAAAUUCCUUGUCGGGUAAGUUCCGACCCGCACGAAAGGCGCAACGAUCUGGGCACUGUCUCAACGAGAGACUCGGUGAAAUUAUAGUACCUGUGAAGAUGCAGGUUACCCGCGACAGGACGGAAAGACCCCGUGGAGCUUUACUGCAGCCUGAUAUUGAAUGUUGGUACAGCUUGUACAGGAUAGGUAGGAGCCUUGGAAACCGGAGCGCUAGCUUCGGUGGAGGCAUCGGUGGGAUACUACCCUGGCUGUAUUGACCUUCUAACCCGCUGCCCUUAUCGGGCAGGGAGACAGUGUCAGGUGGGCAGUUUGACUGGGGCGGUCGCCUCCUAAAAUGUAACGGAGGCGCCCAAAGGUUCCCUCAGAAUGGUUGGAAAUCAUUCGCAGAGUGUAAAGGCACAAGGGAGCUUGACUGCGAGACCUACAAGUCGAGCAGGGACGAAAGUCGGGCUUAGUGAUCCGGUGGUUCCGCAUGGAAGGGCCAUCGCUCAACGGAUAAAAGCUACCCCGGGGAUAACAGGCUUAUCUCCCCCAAGAGUCCACAUCGACGGGGAGGUUUGGCACCUCGAUGUCGGCUCAUCGCAUCCUGGGGCUGUAGUCGGUCCCAAGGGUUGGGCUGUUCGCCCAUUAAAGCGGUACGCGAGCUGGGUUCAGAACGUCGUGAGACAGUUCGGUCCCUAUCCGUCGCGGGCGCAGGAAAUUUGAGAGGAGCUGUCCUUAGUACGAGAGGACCGGGAUGGACGCACCGCUGGUGUACCAGUUGUUCUGCCAAGGGCAUCGCUGGGUAGCUAUGUGCGGACGGGAUAAGUGCUGAAAGCAUCUAAGCAUGAAGCCCCCCUCAAGAUGAGAUUUCCCAUUCCGCAAGGAAGUAAGAUCCCUGAAAGAUGAUCAGGUUGAUAGGUCUGAGGUGGAAGCGUGGUGACACGUGGAGCUGACAGAUACUAAUAGAUCGAGGACUUAACCUAUA
rnacentral:rRNA from 1 species